rnacentral:tRNA from 18 species
AGGGCGGUGGCUCAAUUGGUAGAGCAGCGGUCUCCAAAACCGCAGGUUGCAGGUUCGAGUCCUGUCCGCCCUGCUA